rnacentral:misc_RNA from 1 species
AAAGUUUGUAAAAUCGAUCGUGAAAGUCACGACGAAAUAUUUCAGCUCACCGAGAAUGGGGCCGACGAUCAGAAGCACCAGUCCGUUGGUCACCAUUUGUAUACCAGAUGCGGAAGGUAAUUUUUCGAUCGGCACGUACGUCGAGAUAACCAGGGUCAUGAAAACCGUUCGGAUUCCCUUGCCGAUUCCGAGCGUAAGUCCGACCACUACAACUGCGGCUUUGCCCAACUAACGUGGCGCUUACUCGAUCUGGUUACGAUCAGUAGGACCAUACUGAAGAGAAACAUCAUCCUCGGUGGCUGCUUGAGCCAUUCCGCAAUGAACGGAGCGAUCCCUCGGGACAAUAGAUCGGCUGUCGCCAGGCAACUCAUUACGGCCGCGAUUUCGUCGACGUUGAAUUUCAUCUCAGCCAAAAUAAAGGGCGUCAAUAAGGCGAAGUUUAUCUCCCCAAAUAUCGCUACAGCCAUACCUAUCAAGAUAUUCACAUAGACUGGAUCGCGCAAGAGAUCAAAAUCGAAAAAAAUAACUAUCGCGUGCAGCACGCGGUACAACACAGGCUUCUUUAUUUCCGCGUUUUCCCCCCCUUCUGAAGGACGUCU